rnacentral:tRNA from 1 species
UUGUGACAGAAUAAAUGUAAUAAAUUUAAAAUUUAUAAAUGAAAUCAAUUCCUAUAGAA